GACGAACGCUGGCGGCGUGCUUAACACAUGCAAGUCGAACGGUGAAGCGCCUUCCUUUUUGGUGGGUGUGGAUGAGUGGCGAACGGGUGAGUAACACGUGAGUAACCUGCCCCCUUCUUCUGGAUAACCGCAUGAAAGUGUGGCUAAUACGGGAUAUUCUGGGUCUGUCGCAUGAUGGGUCUGGGAAAGAUAUUGUUUCGGUGGGGGAUGGGCUCGCGGCCUAUCAGCUUGUUGGUGGGGUGAUGGCCUACCAAGGCGGUGACGGGUAGCCGGCCUGAGAGGGUGGACGGUCCCACUGGGACUGAGACACGGCCCAGCCUCCUACGGGAGGCAGCAGUGGGGAAUAUUGCACAAUGGGCGCAAGCCUGAUGCAGCGACGCCGCGUGAGGGAUGGAGGCCUUCGGGUUGUGAACCUCUUUCGCCAGUGAAGCAGGCCUGCCUCGUUUGUGGGUGGGUUGACGGUAGCUGGAUAAGAAGCGCCGGCUAACUACGUG
rnacentral:rRNA from 1 species